UACGGAGGAUCCGAGCGUUAUCCGGAUCUAUUGGGUUUAAAGGGUGCGUAGGCGGCCUAUUAAGUCAGGGGUGAAAGACGGUAGCUCAACUAUCGCAGUGCCUUUGAUACUGAUGGGCUUGAAUGUACUUGAGGUAGGCGGAAUGUGACAAGUAGCGGUGAAAUGCAUAGAUAUGUCACAGAACACCAAUUGCGAAGGCAGCUUACUAAAGUAUGAUUGACGCUGAGGCACGAAAGCGUGGGGAUCAAACAGG
rnacentral:rRNA from 1 species